rnacentral:misc_RNA from 1 species
CGGAUUCGGUAAUAUCGCCGUCUGAUUCACCGUCUGCUUUCCGGAUACGGUUUUCUCCUGGCACUCUUUCUCCGGUUAUGGACUUCACCCCGUCUUCUUCCGCUGCGGCGUUUAACGGUCAUUCUGGAUCCAGUCAUGACUCUUUCCCUUCUGGGUUCUCGAAGUUCAACUCUGCUCUCACCGCCGGGCUUUUGAACCCAAUGUCGCCGCCGCCGUCUACUGAUAAAACCCGAUCGAGUCCGACCCUUUUCG